CCCUUAGAUGUUCUGGGCCGCACGCGCGCUACACUGAUGCAUUCAACGAGUCCAACCUUGACCGAGAGGUCCGGGUAAUCUUUGAAACUGCAUCGUGAUGGAGCUAGAUUAUUGCAAUUAUUAAUCUUCAACGAGGAAUGCCUAGUAAGCGUGAUUCAUCAAAUCGCGUUGAUUACGUCCCUGCCCUUUGUACACACCGCCCGUCGCUCCUACCGAUUGAGUGUGUUGGUGAGGAGUUUGGAUUGGCCUCGGAAGGUGGUUCGCCACCGUCCGUAGCUGAGAAGUUCUCCAAACCGCCCCACUUGGAGGAAGGAGAAGUCGUAACA
rnacentral:rRNA from 1 species